rnacentral:rRNA from 1 species
CCUACGGGAGGCAGCAGCCGCGGUAAUACGUAGGGUGCGAGCGUUGUCCGGAAUUACUGGGCGUAAAGGGCUCGUAGGUGGUUUGUCGCGUCGUCUGUGAAAUUCCGGGGCUUAACUCCGGGCGUGCAGGCGAUACGGGCAUAACUUGAGUACUGUAGGGGUAACUGGAAUUCCUGGUGUAGCGGUGAAAUGCGCAGAUAUCAGGAGGAACACCGAUGGCGAAGGCAGGUUACUGGGCAGUUACUGACGCUGAGGAGCGAAAGCAUGGGUAGCGAACAGGAUUAGAUACCCUGGUAGUCCAUGCCGUAAACGGUGGGCGCUAGGUGUGAGGGUCUUUUCACGACUUUCGUGCCGUAGCUAACGCAUUAAGCGCCCCGCCUGGGGAGUACGGCCGCAAGGCUAAAACUCAAAGGAAUUGACGG